rnacentral:lncRNA from 1 species
UAAUCGGAUUCACAGAUACCUUUAUUUCGCAGCACAGCCCAAACUGAGGCUUGACUGAAGGAUGAGGCAUCAUCUCCCAGCCAUGCGGACACAUAAAAUAACCUGUGGCAGUAAACAUGGAAGCUUUUGCCAACCUCAUGAUGUGCUAGAGAGCUUGAUUAAAGAUCCGGACAUGACUUACCGUAUGUGAUAUUUACGAGUAAAAAGCAGCUUCCCAGUAGGCCAGCUUGGAACCUGGACAGACUCAAUUCUGCGAGUAUUUGUUCCAAUCGAUGAUCUGGAAUUUAUCCGUGAAGAAGUUUAGCAAGUGUAAGUGGCCCCUUCAGGGGAGUGUUCAUCUGCAAGCAUGACUGUCAUUUCCUCUGAUGACAUGACAGCCAGUCUGUAUGCCCAGCCACGAUUCUCCAAAGAGGAAGUAAAACGAAUUGCAGUUCUUCUCUGGAGAAGAAGAGCCCACAGCUGGGAACUGCUCAUGAGACCCUGAGACACUAGCUGUGAGCUCACAUAUAGAAGUGUGACUACCAGGAGCUCAGGCCUCUUUAAAGACCUCAAGAAUAGAUCACAUCGAGAUGGAGACACCAGAGGACCCAGCUGUGCAUCUUCCAACCCAGGCAUUGUACAUAAACGCUGUCAGCUGUCUGGAGCCCAAGCGGCUCAUGCUGUGACCACAGCCAUUGCGGUCCCCAAAAGGAACUCCACUCAGCUGAGCCCAAGGAGCCCCGGAAAUGUGGCAGAUGGCAG